AGAGUUUGAUCCUGGCUCAGGACGAACGCUGGCGGCGUGCCUAAUACAUGCAAGUCGAACGCUUCUUUCCUCCCGAGUGCUUGCACUCAAUUGGAAAGAGGAGUGGCGGACGGGUGAGUAACACGUGGGUAACCUACCCAUCAGAGGGGGAUAACACUUGGAAACAGGUGCUAAUACCGCAUAACAGUUUAUGCCGCAUGGCAUAAGAGUGAAAGGCGCUUUCGGGUGUCGCUGAUGGAUGGACCCGCGGUGCAUUAGCUAGUUGGUGAGGUAACGGCUCACCAAGGCCACGAUGCAUAGCCGACCUGAGAGGGUGAUCGGCCACACUGGGACUGAGACACGGCCCAGACUCCUACGGGAGGCAGCAGUAGGGAAUCUUCGGCAAUGGACGAAAGUCUGACCGAGCAACGCCGCGUGAGUGAAGAAGGUUUUCGGAUCGUAAAACUCUGUUGUUAGAGAAGAACAAGGACGUUAGUAACUGAACGUCCCCUGACGGUAUCUAACCAGAAAGCCACGGCUAACUACGUGCCAGCAGCCGCGGUAAUACGUAGGUGGCAAGCGUUGUCCGGAUUUAUUGGGCGUAAAGCGAGCGCAGGCGGUUUCUUAAGUCUGAUGUGAAAGCCCCCGGCUCAACCGGGGAGGGUCAUUGGAAACUGGGAGACUUGAGUGCAGAAGAGGAGAGUGGAAUUCCAUGUGUAGCGGUGAAAUGCGUAGAUAUAUGGAGGAAUACCGGUGGCGAAGGCGGCCCCCUGGACAAAGACUGACGCUCAGGUGCGAAAGCGUGGGGAGCAAACAGGAUUAGAUACCCUGGUAGUCCACGCCGUAAACGAUGAGUGCUAAGUGUUGGAGGGUUUCCGCCCUUCAGUGCUGCAGCAAACGCAUUAAGCACUCCGCCUGGGGAGUACGACCGCAAGGUUGAAACUCAAAGGAAUUGACGGGGGCCCGCACAAGCGGUGGAGCAUGUGGUUUAAUUCGAUGCAACGCGAAGAACCUUACCUGGUCUUGACAU
rnacentral:rRNA from 1 species